ACGGCUCAGUAACACGUAUCCAACCUGCCGCUUACUCGGGGAUAGCCUUUCGAAAGAAAGAUUAAUACCCGAUGGUAUAAAGAGUUCGCAUGUUCUCUUUAUUAAAGAAUUUCGGUAAGCGAUGGGGAUGCGUUCCAUUAGAUAGUUGGCGGGGUAACGGCCCACCAAGUCUACGAUGGAUAGGGGUUCUGAGAGGAAGGUCCCCCACAUUGGAACUGAGACACGGUCCAAACUCCUACGGGAGGCAGCAGUGAGGAAUAUUGGUCAAUGGACGAGAGUCUGAACCAGCCAAGUAGCGUGAAGGAUGACUGCCCUAUGGGUUGUAAACUUCUUUUAUAAGGGAAUAAAGUGAGGGACGUGUCCCUUUUUGUAUGUACCUUAUGAAUAAGGAUCGGCUAACUCCGUGCCAGCAGCCGCGGUAAUACGAU
rnacentral:rRNA from 1 species